GGGGCAGCAGGGACAGUUCCAAUUAACCAACUUGCCACAAACUGGCCCCCAGCAGAACUCAGGGGUUGGAAGGGAGGAGAAAAAUGUUCGGCGUUCACUUUCGCAUCUGUUGCGGCUCAGCACCCGCUUGAAAGCUUCCUGUCCUCGCUCGCCAUAGUUAGAAGCGACGUUCUCGGGUUUCCAGAGUCGGAGGCGGCUGCCAGGCCUGCUCACGUGCCAACUCCAGCCCACGCGGGUCCCUCCUCUCGUCGGCCAGGAGGCAAGUGUCGAUGGGGCUGCUCUCCACCCUGUGUGGGAACACAAGGAGCCCCGCAGGCACUGGUCCUGAGUCAAGGAAUGUGCAGUACCAUUGGGAGAGAUGAAGCGAUAGACAGGACCAUCUUCUCAGGCUAACGGGGGCUCCAGGGGAACCGGCGGAGUGGGCGAGAGCGGGCACUUGCAAGUGACAGACCCAGGUUCACAUGCCUGCUAAGCUCCGUAUCUAGCUAUGUCUGGAGCAAAUCUUUACGACCCUCUGAGCCUCAGUUUCCUCGAUCAACAAAGAUGUGCUGUCAACACCACCUGAGGGUUUUGAGGAAUGGCUGAGAUGACAUAGAGAUGAUACCGGACCUACCUCAUGGAGUGGUUGUAAGGAUUCAGUGAGAGAAUAUGUGUAAAGAACGGUUCCCGGCAUGUGGAAUAGUAUUCCCAUUUUACGGAUAAGGAAAUCAAGGCACAGAAAAUUAAUGACAUUUGCCAAAGGUGCGCAUAACUG